UUCAAGGAGUGAUUUUCAAAGAGAUUUAAAGAGGCAGCAGUCACCUUUCUGCCUCGAGGGAGAAGAGAGAGAGAGCUUUGCUUUGCUUUUGCUUUUGCUUUGCCUUCCUUUACCUAUUGUUCUGCUUUGCCAGCCUGCCUUGCUUGCCAGUUCCACCCAGCCUGCCAGUGCCUGUGCCAGCCUGGGGUGGAUUCUCUGCUGCAUUCAUUGCUUUUUUGUAGAGAAAAAGAGAAUUAUACAGAAGAAAAAAGAAUUCUAUCUGAUUCUCUUUUCACCCCUUCCUGCUGCUGAGAGAAUCACUGCCUGCCUGUGCCAGCUACCAGCCCCAGAUCGCCUGCAGCCACUGGCCACCUGGCCAGACAGCCACCCCCUUCCCCCCACCCUAGGUUUUCCAGGCUUUUGCCCCAGCCCCCACCCCAUCUGAAGACUGAAGAAGAUUGAAGAAGAAAGAGUAGACUCUCAGAGACCAGACCACAGAAGAGGAAUACUAGACGCAGCAUGGGUGAAGCCUUAGACUGAGCUGGGGCUGAAGCACCAGUGGUGAAAUGGCUGAUGGAUGGGGUAGAACCUGGACAACUCUUAAUACCACCUACAACUCAAUAAGCAGAAUGAAGACUAAGUCAGACAGGGGCAACUUUAGAACAACUAGUUUCGAGGAACAAAGGAGUGACAACAUUUUUGGGCACUGAGGAUUUUGCUAUCCAUACGCAUAGAGGUAAGUUGAUAGAAAGCAUCAUUCAAGAGAAAAUCAUCAACAUGGGCCUACCCCCUGCCCGCCCGCCCUGUUGGUCAUGAGUAUAGUAAGUUGACAGAAAGCAUCAUUCAACAGAAAACCAUCAAACAUACAGAAGAGCAAGCAUUGCUGAGAAAGAACCAACAUGACUUCUGCAAGGCAUAGAUUGGAGAAUAUUUGCUCCAAGAACAGCAGCACAACAGGACUGGUCUUCCUUAAAAAGAAAGCAUCAUAGAAGUAAAGCCACCUGAGACUGCUGUAGUAGGAGAUUGAUCCAAGAGAGAAAGAUUCUAAAAAGCUUGUCAGCUACUCAUGACUGCAUGAAACAGCCUCCCCAACACACCAAAUAAAGGAUCAGCAACACAGUUUCUGGCCUUGAAAGAACACAGACAAAGCCUAGAAGAAUUCUGGAAGCCAGAGGAGAAGCUGACAACAUUCCAAUAUCAUCCAUCAGCUUAUUUAUUUGUUUUCUAUUAUAUUUAUAUAUAAAUAUAUUUAUAAAUACAUAUG